rfam:Thalassotalea sp. ND16A ctg108, whole genome shotgun sequence.
UCUUGGUCCUCCCGCAAUGAUACUCUGUGAACUCGGCCAGGUCCGGAAGGAAGCAACCGCAGCAGACGACUCAUGUGCCGGGAUGUUGGCUAGGAGGG